rnacentral:rRNA from 1 species
GACGAACGCUGGCGGCGCGCUUAACACAUGCAAGUCGAGCGAAGCGGCGGACGGGUGAGUAACACGUGAGUAACCUGCCUUAGACAUUGGGAUAGCCUCGGGAAACCGGGAUUAAUACCAAAUGGUCUAAGAGGAACUCGCGUCCCAUUAGCUAUUUGGUGAGGUAACGGCCCACCAAGGCGACGAUGGGUAGCCGGCCUGGGAGGGGGACCGGCCACAUUGGAGCUGAGAAACGGUCCAAACUCUACGGGAGGGAGCAGUGUGGAAUGUUGAACAAUGGAGGGAUCUCUGAUGCAGCGACGCCGCGUGAACGAAGAAGGCUGUCGAGUCGUAAAGUUCUUUUAUAUGGGAAGCGGUACCAUAAGAGAAAGCCCCGGCUAACUACGUGCCAGCAGCCGCGGUAAUAC